UUUGAUAAGCUUGAUGUUUUCGAUAUUCUAAACAUUUUACAUCUCAGUAGGAUUUCUAAAAUAUAAAUAUAAUGGUCGAUGCAAUUUUAAUUAAUCUUCUUUAAGCAAAAUCAUUAAUUCUGCACUAAAUUCCAUUUUUUAUGAGGCAGCCAUUGUUCGGUGCAACACCCGUCCCUAUUACCCUAGAACGUUUUUUUUGUUAAAUAUUAAUAAUAUUUGUAAUAGUAAUUAUUGUAAAUUUUGUAUGAAUCCUCUAUCCCCCGAUUUUUUUUGUGUUCGUGCUUGGCUAAAAUCGAUCCCUGAGGGAUUUCAUUAUUCACUCUCCUCCAUUUACUCUUUGGUACCUGAGUGAACUUGGAAUCGUCGGUUUGCUAGGAUUUUUUCUAAAAGUGUCACUAACUUCCUACAUUUAAUAACCUUGUUAA